GUGUCAGCAGCCGCGGUAAUACGUAGGGGGCAAGCGUUGUCCGGAUUUACUGGGUGUAAAGGGCGCGCAGGCGGGUUUGCAAGUCAGUGGUGAAAGCCUAUAGCUUAACUAUAGAACUGCCAUUGAUACUGCAGAUCUUGAGUACGGAAGAGAGAGACGGAAUUCCAGGUGUAGUGGUGAAAUACGUAGAUAUCUGGAAGAACACCAGUUGCGAAGGCGGUCUCUUGGUCCGAUACUGACGCUGAGGCGCGAAAGCGUGGGGAGCAAACAGGAUUAGAAACCCCCGUAGUCC
rnacentral:rRNA from 1 species